rnacentral:rRNA from 1 species
GCGAGCGUUAAUCGGAAUUACUGGGCGUAAAGCGCGCGUAGGCGGCUUUGCAAGUCGGGUGUGAAAUCCCCAGGCUUAACCUGGGAACUGCAUUCGAGACUGCAUUGCUAGAGUAUGGGAGAGGGAAGUGGAAUUUCCGGUGUAGCGGUGAAAUGCGUAGAUAUCGGAAGGAACAUCAGUGGCGAAAGCGACUUCCUGGACCAAUACUGACGCUCAUGUGCGAAAGCGUGGGGAGCAAACAGGAUUAGAUACCCUGGUAGUCCACGCCAUAAACGAUGAGAACUGGAUGUCGGGAGGGUCUGCCUCUCGGUGUCGUAGCUAACGCGUUAAGUUCUCCGCCUGGGGAGUACGGCCGCAAGGUCG